rnacentral:rRNA from 1 species
UACGGAGGGUGCGAGCGUUGUCCGGAAUCAUUGGGCGUAAAGGGCGCGUAGGUGGCCUGCUAAGCGUGCGGUGAAAGCUCGGGGCUCAACCCCGAGUCGGCCGUGCGAACUGGUGGGCUUGAGCACUGUAGAGGCAGGCGGAAUUCCGGGUGUAGCAGUGGAAUGCGUAGAGAUCCGGAAGAACACCGGUGGCGAAGGCGGCUUCUUGGGCCCUACCUGACGCUGAGGCGCGAAAGCCAGGGGAGCGAACGGG